GGAAUUUUGGACAAUGGGGGCAACCCUGAUCCAGCCAUGCCGCGUGCGGGAAGAAGGCCUUCGGGUUGUAAACCGCUUUUAGUCGGGAAGAAAAGGUUAUCCCGAAUAAGGAUGACUCUUGACGGUACCGGCGGAAUAAGCACCGGCUAACUACGUGCCAGCAGGCGCGGUAAUCCGUCGGGGGCGAGCGUUAAUCGGAAUUACUGGGCGUAAAGCGUGCGCAGGCGGUUCGUUAAGUUCGAUGUGAAAGCCCCGGGCUCAACCUGGAAAUGGCAUUGAAAACUGGCGGGCUUGAGUCUGGCAGAGGGGGGUGGAAUUCCGCGUGUAGCAGUGAAAUGCGUAGAGAUGCGGAGGAACACCGAUGGCGAAGGCAGCCCCCAGGGCCAAGACUGACGCUCAGGCACGAAAGCGUGGGGAGCAA
rnacentral:rRNA from 1 species